UCUCUCUUUCGGGCAGAGAGAAGAAACCCACGCGCGCACGCGGUGAUGUCUUACGGGUGAUAAUUGGCCCAGGGGUCGGGUCUGACGGGAACAGAAAGUUUUGAGGGAGUUUACUGCUGAUGCAAGGUGACUGGUUGGAUAAAGAAGUCCAAAGUUAUUUUUUUAUCUGUAGAACAAAUAAAGCCUGGCCAAAGGUUUGAAGCCUCUGAGAGCCAGGCCCAGGCUGUGUCCAUCCAUAACCCUGCGACAUGCACGCCACAGAAUAGGCUGUUUGGCUGAGUGAGGAGCGCAGCAAAGGGAACACUUUCCAUUUGCUCCCUAAGAGACACUACAUGAUAUACCAAGAGUAAUGGCGGAUACUCUGUGAUUAUCACUACUUUUAAAAUAUUUAUUUGUUUUUGAGGGAGGGUCUUACUAUGUUGA